AAUCAACACUGGCGGCGUGCCUGACACAUGCAAGUCGAGCGAGAAAAGGGGGGCAACUCCCUGAGUAAAGCGGCGCACGGGUGAGUAACACGUGGGUAAUCUGCCCUGGAGUGGGGAAUAACACCGGGAAACCGGUGCUAAUACCGCAUACGAUAGCGAGGUCUGCGGACUUUGUUAUGGAAGGAGCAAUUCGCUCUAGGAGGAGCCCGCGGCUGAUUAGCUAGUUGGUGAGGUAAUGGCUCACCAAGGCUACGAUCAGUAUCCGGUCUGAGAGGACGGUCGGACACACUGGAACUGAGACACGGUCCAGACUCCUACGGGAGGCAGCAGUGGGGAAUUUUUGGCAAUGGGGGCAACCCCGACCAAGCAACGCCGCGUGGGUGAUGAAGUCUCUUGGGACGUAAAACCCUUUCGACGGGGAAGAAACUGCAAGGUUGACGGUACCCGUAGAAGAAGCCCCGGCUAACUCCGUGCCAGCAGCCGCCGUAAGAC
rnacentral:rRNA from 1 species